UAUUAGCUUGUUCAAUUUAUGUCAAGGUUAUAUAUUGAUUUGCCUGAUACAACUUGAUUUGGUCUCAAGUUUUAUUGCCCAGACUGCAAUGACGGUCUUCAAACAAUGGGAAUUGUAAUGUAUGGACAAGUGCAGGCGUCUGUUAAACAGCUCCAUUGUUGUCCACAUGACAAAGCAUGGAUGUUACAUUCGAUAUCCCUACAUAAAAGCUAAACACGAGUCUCUAGCAGAAGAUGGGGUGUAUUUUACAAAGAGAAGAACAUUUUUUUCUGAACUUAAUACAGGGAGCCCUAGAAACAAUAAUUUCUAGUAAGACGGGUAGCAUUACUUUUCCAGACGACUAUUCCAUGCUUUGACUCGUUGUCAGUAACAAAUGCCUAUAUAUGAUCUUAGUGAACAGUUAAACGAAACAUCAGCGUUAUUGGGCUGUUUUAUAAAUAAUACAAAUAGUUGCUUGUUAAUUUACAAUUUAUUCCAUAUAAUGGCAUAUUCAUUUAUCAGAAAUUAUUUUAAUCAAAUUUUGCUGGAAAUGGCACAGCUAUGCGCAGCUCCCCCCAAUUUUAUUGGCGGUUGACGGUUCUGUGAAAAUUUUAACUGUAGGCUAAAAUUGUCGCAGCACCGCCAAUUUGGCAGAUUUCGCUGCGCUUAGAUAACAUAUUUGUAGUUU
rnacentral:lncRNA from 1 species